UUAAGAAAGAACUAAAAUAAAAGGGACAAAUUAUAAAAGAAAUGAACUAUUAAAGUAAAAGGGAUCUAAUUAAAAAUAAUUAAAAUGAAUGGGCUAAUUUAUAAAUAAAAUAAUCAAAAUGAGGACUAAAAUGUGAAGCGCACGAAGGCGUAGGAGCCCAAACUGGAAAUAAUCCAGCUCCCAAAACGCAGUGCUCAGGCAUGGAUCCAUUUGCAAACGAGUGUAAAUUAUAGGGCCAAAUUUAAAGAGUAAAUAAAACAAAUGGCGCGUGAUUGAAUGACCGCACAAAAAGGUAAGGACCCAAUGCGGAAUUAGCCCUUUUAAAACAAAGAGGCGCGGAUCCGACCCAUCCAAUGGGUCAACACGCGGAUCCCCCCCCAUUUUGGGACGACGUCGUUUCAAGUAAAGGUUUUAAAACCUUAUUUCCUUCUUUUCAAAUGCAGCCACCCUUUCAACCCUAAUUUCAAACCUAAAAUCAAUUUGCUGAAACCCAUUCCAGUGACUGCCAAUCCACCAUUUUAUUUGGUGGCCGACAAUGCUCGAGCAGCGACCCGAUCCCACCGGCGAACGCGCCAAGCGAGGAAACCUGGUAUGCUACUUUAUUUUCCCUUUUAAAAAAAAACCUAGAUCUAAUGUUGUUUAAUCAAGAAAGAUGAAACCGAAUAUAAGAAGAACACUUAGUAUCAUCCGACCCUCGUCCCUAUCUCAAUAUUUUUGAGAUAUUCGGGACUUCAUUGGUAUCGUCUCCAAUAUUUCUUUCUAAAAUCGCAAGUAAAUGAGAAGAAGAAAAAAAAUUAGAUAGACUUGAAAAUAACCUUUUCUGAUUUGUGAUUUCUUGUUUUUUUCUUUUUUUUUUGUUAUAGAUGUGUGUUCAUCCCCCAAAUACAAUCGAUUUUCUUGGCUUUAUAGUCGAAAAGAAAGAGGAAAACAAAUCAAAAUACAAUAUGUGAUUUCUUUGUUUGUAUUUGCUGCUGCGCUUGCCUGUUUCCUUUGCAGGUACGGGUGUGUUGGCAUCGUACAAAGGCUGUGCUGGCGCUUGGCGUGAGGAGUACGGAGGCGUGCUGGCGCUUGGGAGGUUGCUGUUGCGGCGCAGGAGAAGGAAAGGAACCCUAGGGUUUCUAAAAUUUCUGGGCCAUUUGGGCUCGUUUCGGGUAUUGGGUCAGUCAUUGGGCCAUGGGGUUUUAGUUAUUGGGUCUAGGUUAUGUAGUUGGGUUUGUAACUUGGGACUUGGACUUUAUAUUUGGUUUUAUUUAUUUGUUUUUAAUUUUGAUUUUUUGGUUGUUGGGUCCGGGCAGAAUUUGGGCCUUACAAUAUUUAUUUAAUCCAUUAAGCAAACCGUCCACCAUAAUAUAAAUAAAGUCUAAUUAUCCUUUAAAGCUCUCCAUUCAAGCUUUUAUAACUAUUUAGCACAAAUAACCCACUAGCAAUUAAAUUUUUGUAGUUUUUAUGAUUUAGUCUUU
rnacentral:lncRNA from 1 species